ACGGGAGGCAGCAGUGAGGAAUAUUGGUCAAUGGGCGGAAGCCUGAACCAGCCAAGUCGCGUGAAGGAUGAAGGUAUUAUGUAUUGUAAACUUCUUUAGCAGUGGAGUAAUAAGGGAGUCGUGACUCCUGAUGCAAGUACACUGAAAAUAAGGAUCGGCUAAUUCCGUGCCAGCAGCCGCGGUAAUACGGAAGGUCCGGGCGUUAUCCGGAUUUAUUGGGUUUAAAGGGAGCGCAGGCGGCCUGUUAAGCGUGUGGUGAAAUGUAGUCGCUCAACGUCUGCACUGCCACGCGAACUGGCGGGCUUGGGUGCGGUGAACGCUGGCGGAAUUCGUGGUGUAGCGGUGAAAUGCUUAGAUAUCACGAAGAACUCCGAUUGCGAAGGCAGCUGGCGGUACCGUUACCGACGCUCAUGCUCGAAAGUGUGGGUAUCGAACAGGAUUAGAUACCCUGGUA
rnacentral:rRNA from 1 species